UUUGUGAAAAUUUGUCAUAUCUGACCUAUGUAUUGUAAAUGCGUUUCUGGUAAUGAACUUGACACUUGACUUCUGCUUUCACUUCUGGUUUCAUGCUGGUUGCGCUGCACUGUCUGCCGCUAUCCUUCUCCGUUUUGUAGGUGUUGUGGAAUGUGUCGCGAUUUGCUGUCUUGAAAAGUUUCUUUAAGAAGAGUUUCCGCGUCUCAUGACAGCAAGAAGUUCCCUAUGCCGUAGUGUUUUGCCCCCAGCUGCACCAGCGGCCUGAGACAGGAUGCCGCUGGUCGCCAUUUUUUCGCACCGCCACAAGAUGCUGGGGAGUUCAAAAGUUGGGAACGCAUGCUACACCGAAACGGUAAACGCCUCACAAACAAAUCAAAAGUCUGUGAACGCCACUUCGAGGACGACGACAUUUUGAAAUACUACAAGCAUGUUGUGGGUGACAAAGAAAUAUUGAUUCCUCGCGGGAAAUGGAUGCUUGUUCCCGGCGCACUUCGUCGGCUCUUUCCUGGGCUGCCUGAGCAUAUCUCAAAGCCAAAAAAUGUGAAGCGAAAACGACGCCCACCAAAAGAACGAGCGCAAGUGCCGGCAAGUACAUCGGGCGAAGCUUGACAGCACUUCAACUUCAAACCUGCUGUUGGGCUUGGAAGAAAGGAACUCCAAAAAUAUGCGCAACCCACUUUGUGCUCAACGAGCUCACGAACGUGGCACUGCCUUCUGCGCUCUGGAAGUUAGAAAUUGUUUAGGACGACGCAACACAGAAGCGAUGUGGAGUAUUUUAUGAGCCAACUGGUAGCCGGGCAUCUGCGAGUAAUGAAUACUGUUGUGCUUGAAGAUGAUGGUACUUGCUGCAUAAACGGCUACAGCAAAAUUCACAAGAGGCUAUUUCGAGCUGCGGCCAGCAUUGCAAGUGUGGAAAUAAACCUGAGAGAAGCAGACAGCUUGAACAUAUGCGCGGGCAUGAAAGCAGGCCAGCGGGACACCGGCGACAUCAGAUAACAUACACCACAAGCAGUGCAAUGUAUGUACUUUCAAAGCAACUAGUCUGCGCGCGUUGUCUCCGUCUACAGAGGAAACUUCGACUGAGCAUUAAAACUCCGAGCGCAACGCUCAAGCGAUAUCAGAAACUACGCAAUGUGAAGAAAAGGCUGCUAGGGCGACUGCUGCGCAUCAAAAGCAAAAGAAGGAAAUUUUGGCUCUGAAGAGAAGGCUUUCAGAAAUGCCCGAUAACAGAAUCGAGGAAACGUUGGCCGAACUUCUGCCUUUACAGCGACUUGCAUUUAUGACAUCGUUUAAACAGUUGAAUGCAAAGUAUCCGUGUGGCACGCGGUACAAUGGGCACUGGCUUCUGAAAUGUUUAAUGCUAAGAAUAGCGAGCCCUCGAGCAUAUAAGCUUCUAUCUGACAUGAACAUGCUGGCCUUGCCCUCCCUGAGCCGUCUCACACAAAUUCUGAAAGGAAUACCAUGCAUGUAUGGUUUCAAUCCUCUCUGUAUGGAAGCUAUUGGAAAACAGCUGGGCAAGAGAGCAGAUGGGAAGAAGUUCGGCACACUGAUUUUGGAUGAAAUUAAGUUACGUCAGGCGUACGAUUUCAACAAGUCAACCUUCAAACUUGGUUUUGUGGGCUACGGUGGCAUUUCAAAUGAAGGAACGGACUAACUUGCAGAUCAUGCGCUCGUGCUGAUGUUUGUACCACUUCUGGAGAGCUGGGUGCAACCAACUGCCAUCUUUGCCACGAAAGGUGCGGCGCCUGGUAGGAUUUUAGCAGAGCUGGUGUUGCAAGCAGUAAUUCAAUUGCAUUAACAUGGUGCUAUGGGGAUUGCCGUAGUCAAUGACGGGGCUGGGAACAAUCACUCGAUGUGGCAGCAGAUGGGAAACGGCGGCAGCUUAACCUCACCUUCUCACAAGAUUCCACAUCCAUGCCUGCCUGAGCGCGCGUACCUGUGUGAUGUGCCACAUGCCCUGAAGUGUGUACGCAACCAUUUGCUCAAGCACAAAUAUGGACAGGCUGGAGAUUACCGCAUAAACUUUGCCCACCAUCAACUCCUCUAAUUAAGAGUGCGAAAGAAAGCAUAAUCUCAAAGUCGUCCCCAAGCUCUCAGCAGCGCACGUAAACCCAACAAACUUGCAGAGAAUGAACGUGUGACUCGUUGCACAGCUGUUCAGCUUAGUACUGCUAUUGGAUCGCAGUUAUACAGGGCAGAAAGCGUUGAAGGCCUCCAAGGGAACAGAAGCGUUUACAACGACAAUGAAUGACGUCUUUGACGCACUCAACACAAAAAAUCCUGCAGAAGAAAUACGAAAGGGCUCACCGAAGAGUACGCUUCAAGCCAGUGUACAUGUGUCCAACUCGGUGUAAUAAUAUUUAAUGGAAGCCCUACAGUUUAGUGCAAACUACACAUUCAUUUAUUUGCGCAGAUAAUCAAGAAGUUUCUCGACCUGCUCAACAUCACGGAACACAACUGCCACCACCGAAACAUGCUUGUUUGCUUCGAGACAGACAAUCGAAGCUUUGCGUGUUACGCUUCGGUACUCGACAUAAUUGACGAGCUCCACAAAGCUGGUGUCCUCUACAACUGACAGUGAAGCCCAACCAAGAUCCCCAAGAGGUAAUGCGCAAAUGCUUGUUGAAUUUUUAAUGCAUGCACACACCGCAAAUGCAGUUUGUUUUAUCGUGAUUACUUAUAUUACUGCACGCCAUAGGAGGCCUCCAAGGGAACAGAAGCGUUUACAACAACAAUGAAUGACGUCUUUGACGCACUCAACACAAAAAAUCCUGCAGAAGAAAUACGAAAGGGCUCACCGAAGAGUACGCUUCAAGCCAGUGUACAUGUGUCCAACUCGGUGUAAUAAUAUUUAAUGGAAGCCCUACAGUUUAGUGCAAACUACACAUUCAUUUAUUUGCGCAGAUAAUCAAGAAGUUUCUCAACCUGCUCAACAUCACGGAACACAACUACCACCACCGAAACAUGCUUGUUUGCUUCGAGACAGACAAUCGAAGCUUUGCGUGUUACGCUUCGGUACUCAACAUAAUUGACGAGCUCCACAAAGCUGGUGUCCUCUACAACUGACAGUGAAGCCCAACCAAGAUCCCCAAGAGAAAAUUUUUGGUGUUGUCCGUUCACUCCAUGGCGACAAUGACCACCCAUCCGUAGUUCAAUUCCGACAGAUUUGUAGAUUGUUGUCUUUGUUCACACCUGUGAAAAAUGCAGUGAGAGGAAAUUGCUCUGGCGCUCCCAAUGGUGUUCUGGUGUCUCCUCACAACAGCCUGGGGCAAAAGGAAAAGGCUGCUGCUGAGCUGAAAGGUGCAGUUGAAGCAAAGCUAUACAAGAAGCUGUGUAGGAUGAGUCUUUCAGUAGGCCACAUGGAUAACUUGGGCGACCACGGGUACCAGAAAGCAGGAACACAAGAAAUGGUUGUCUACUACCUGGCUGGAUAUACACUGAAGAAAGUGCUUCCGAGCCACCAAGUGCGCGUGACCCACGACCCUCGCAUAGCCUUUUGACAGAGCCGAGGUCAUUCAAGUCGGGGUGCUUACGUGAAGUCUUUCAGAAUGUUCACCGUCGUCAAACACAUAUAAGUAAUUCGUCAAACACUCGACAGCAACGCAGUUUUUGGCGACUUAUUUUGCGAGCAUUCUGGACGGGCUAGAUAAAGCAUUAGGAUGCCAUAAUCAUUAUGAGGAAGGAGGUGACUGCUAAUGUCAUCAAGUUCUAUCUUGUCAUGCGCAUGCACUUUUCCAAAAGAAUGAAGUGAGGCAUCACUGACAGAGCAGGUGCAAGCAGCCAGAAAGAGGGCAAAAUUACUGAGCAAAAGUUGCUCAAAAUUACUUUUUUAUGCACAAAGUAAAUAAAAAGUGUCACUGUUUUGUUCGUCAAAAAGAAAAUGAAUUAAGCUUUGACCUAAAUAUGUUCAUAGUAUUUAACUUCGGCCUUGCCACUGCUUGCAGAUCACUUCCAACGCAUUCACACGUCCCAUAAUAUCCGCGGACAAAUAUAAAAAAUACAGGUGUCAAUUAAAUUAGGCGAAGCGUUGACGGGGGUGGAUCAAUUCACCACAGCGGUGUCUCGAGCGACUGCUGGGCGUGAUGCGUUGAUGUCGCUACGUCUGCACAGGCGCUCGCCGUCUCUAAUUACUACACAUCGUAAGCAGCAAAAAAAAGCCCCCGCUGAAGGGAGCACCGUGGCGCUUUUAUAGGGAAAAAGUUGGUUGAAAAGCGGAAUCGCAUUGCACGAUCGCUCAUUUGCGGUGUAGUUGCAGCCUCUAAACACUAGCUAGACAUAUCAGUCGAGGAUCCUUGGCAUACAAUAUUGUGCGGGCAACCAAAACACAAUGGUCAAAGAGCGAAUGGCACAGGCCAGUUGGAGAAAAUGACCCACUGCAGUGUAGACGAUGCGCGCUGCGCGAGAUGUCACUGCAGCGCCGAUAGUGCACAGACACCGUGCAGUCCCCAUUACUUUAGCGCGGUAGGCUAGUCACAAAACUCAGACUAUGUAUGUAAACUACAUUUACUGACGGAUAAGUGCCUACAGGCCAGUCGGCGCAUGACAAAAGACGCGACUGCAGCACCGGUAGUUUCAGUGACGCCCAUUGCGGCCACGCCGGCCAGUGGGCUCGCAUAGGGAGCUGCGAAACUGAAGUACGUAUUGUCCAAGAACGUUGCCUCGGUCCACUGCGCCACCA